rnacentral:lncRNA from 1 species
CAAACGUGCAGUUAUCUUUAACUUGUUGAGUAAAUUCCACACUGUUUUCAACAGCAGUUAUACCAGUCUAUGUUCCUAACAAAAGCUAAUGUGGAAGGCUUUCACUCAACAGCAUUUCUAGUUUGCUGUUUUCUUAUAAUAACCAUUUUGACUGGAAUAAGGUAGAAUCUCAAUUUUUUUCAUUUUCAUUUAACUAGUGGCCAAAGAUGCACACUUUAAAAAAUAUUUAUUUGCUAUCUCUAUUUCUUCUUUGAGACCUCUCUAUUCAGAAUCUAAGUCCAUUUACUAAGUGGGUCAUCUGCUUUCUUGUGGAUUCUACAUAUUAGUCAUAUGUAAGAUGUACAGCUGGUAAAGACCUGGUCAACAAUUUCCAUUAUGGAACAAAAGAUUUUUAAUUUCAUGAGAUGCUACUUGGUUAUUGUUGGCCUUUUUCAUGAAUGAUCAGAGUAUUGUUCAUAGACUCCUUACCUGUGUCUAUCUCUUUUUUAAAAGCUUAUUUUUAUUUAUGAGUACAUUUGACUAUCUGUUUGAGGGUCUGUGAUGUUAAUGCAUGUAACCCUGGAAGCCAGAAGAGUGCAUCAGAUCCCCUGGAGCUGGAAUUAUAGGCGGUUGUAAACUAUGUGAUGUGUGUGCUUGGAAUUAAACUCAGGUCCUCUGGAAGAGCAGCAUUCUUAACCACUGAGUGAUCUCGCCAGCCCCUGUAUCUAUACCUUUAAUUGCAGGCCACGCUUUGUCUUCUAGUAGUUUCAGGACUACCAUUUAAGGUUUUGGUCUAUUUGAAAUUGAUUUCUGUGCAGGAUCAGUGAUAAAGAUCAACUUGCAUUGUCCUAAAUGUUGAUAUCCAAUUUCCUUAGCAUCACUUGUUGAUGAUCCUAGUUUUCAAUAUGUGUGUGUGUGUGUGUGUGUGUGUGUAUGUAUGUAUAUAUAAUUGGGUCCUUUGUCAAAAGUCAGGUGUCAAUAGUUAUGUGGACUUCUGUCUGUGUCCUGUAUUUUGUUCUAUUGAUCUGUCUGUUUUUGUACCAGUCCUAUGCUGAUAUUAUUAAAAUUUCCCUGUAGUAUAGCUUGACAGAGGAUAUUCUGCCACCUCCAGCAGUGUUCUGACUGACAGCUGAGUAUUGCUUUGGAUAUUUAAGGUCUUUUGUCUUCCUUAUGAAAUUUAAUAUUCUUUAAGGAAUUCUUUUAAAAUUAAGUUGGAAUUUUGAUUAGAAGUGCAUUGAAUUUGUAGAUUGCUUUUAAAAAGAAGAUAUUUUUCAAAUCCAUGAGUAGGAGGGAUUUUUUAUCUUUAACUUCUUCAGUGUUUUAAAUUUUUCACUGUAUAAUUAUUUCACUUCCUUGGUUAGGUUUAUUUCAAGGUAUUUCUGUCUUCUUUUGUUUUGUUGAGGCAUUUGUUAUGCAAAUAUUUUUAUGAUUUCUUUUUCAGCAUGGUUGCUCUUUGGCAGAGAGGAACCUAUCGAUUUUGCAUGUUAGUUUUGUAAACUACACUUUGCUAAAAGUGUUUAUCAAGUCCAAGAGUCUCCUGGCCAAUGUCUUUGGGGUUCAUUGUGUAUAGAACCAUGUCAACUACAAUUAGAGAUGCAUAAACUUCUUGGUUUCCCAUUUGUAUUCUUCUCAUUGCCUUCUCUUGCCUUACUGCUUAACUAUAACUAAGACUUUAAUCUUCCUAUUGAAGAAGAUGUGGAGAGUGGGAAUCCUUUCUUUGUUCCUGGUCUUAGUGGAAAUCUUGUGAGUUUUUCUCUGUACUUAGUAUGAUGUUGAUCAUAGGUUUGUCAUACAUAGUCUUUUUAUAUUAAGUUAAGAUGUAUUUCUCUUAAUCCCUAGUCUCUUCAGGGAUUUUUAUCAUAAAAGGAUUUCAAAUUUUGUCAGUGACCUUUUCUCUGAAAGACCUAUUGAAAUAAUGAUGUUUUUGAAUUUGGUUUGCAUAUAUUUCUAUUGAGAAUUUUUGUAUCUAUGUUAAAAAAGGAGAUUAGAUCUAUAAUUUUCUUUCUUCUCUCUCUCUCUCCCUCCCUCCCUCCCUCU